rnacentral:piRNA from 1 species
UGGUUAACCUCUGUACAGACCAAGAAA